UGUUAAAAAAAUUAUUCAUUUGUACUGUUAAAAAUUGACCUGAAUGAUGGAAUAAUUAAACAGCGAUACGUGUAACUCAUGUUGAUGUAUACAGACGAAUUUUUAACAAAAUAAAUAGAUAAAAUUUUGUAAUA
rfam:Gossypium raimondii Chr07_contig_28, whole genome shotgun sequence.